CCAUUUGAUCAUGUUUAUGGAUGUCAACUCCGUACUCUUGUUGACCUUGUUCCUUUGUCACUUCAUACCUAUGUUUCUAAGUAUGCUGAAAAUAUUGCUCAACAUAUGCAUGAUUUGUAUACAGAGAUUAGGCAUAAAACUGCAAUGAGUAAUAUAGAGCACAUCAUGGGGCUAAAGAGUUUAACGUGGGGGAUAAUAUCAUGGUUCACAUUUAUCCAGGUUGAUUGCCUACAAAUCUUUUUAAGAAAUUACAUGCUCGAGCCAUGGGUUC
rnacentral:lncRNA from 1 species